AUGGAAAUGGUGGAGGACGCGGCGGCGGCAAGCGGGUGGCCUGGUUCCUCCCGCCGCAGCCACCUCCUCCAGUUCCUCCUCCAUGCCUCCAACCGGCUCGACCUCCGGCCUAUCGUCAAGUACUCCGUGCUCUCGUUCUUCGAUGGGCGCUUCCUCCCCGCGCUUCCGAGGAAGAUGGGGUUCUGCGGCGCACGAAGUGGGCGGGCCGUCAGGUCGUGGCUGAUCGAGCCCCUGAGGGACAGCAACCUGGAGCUCUUCGCGCUUGUCGCGGUGUGGAUCGCCAGCAAGAUCCAUGAGAUGAGGCCACUGUCGGUGAAGAGCCUCAAGGCGCUCAGCGACCGCAUCAUCGCCGACCAGCAUUUCACAUGCCGUGAUUUCGCCGAUGCUGAGCUGGUGUUCAUGGAGGUAGUGGAUUAUAAUGUUGGGUGUUCCAACAUUGCUUUCAUAUACCUGGAGGAGCUUCUCAUUCAGUUCAGGGAAAUAUCAAAGUUGGGUGAUCUUUUAAGUAUGGAUGUGUGCAUGGAAGUUUUGGAUGUUCUUUAUGAGACCGAAGAUACCUCAUGGCUUUUCGACUUUCCCUGUCCACUUGCUGCUUCAACUCUUGUUACUGCAUAUGUUAUGUCAGUUCCUAAGCAGACAUGGGAGUUUCCAAUCCUUCCUUGGGUCCGGUUUACCACGUCAUAUGCUGAAGAAGAGAUCAUGAAGAUUGUUAUGACAAUUCUCAUGCAUGUACUCAAACCGGAUGAAAUCAAAGAGAAGAACAAGAGAGAGUUCAGUAUAUGA
rnacentral:rRNA from 1 species